rnacentral:rRNA from 1 species
GACGAACGCUGGCGGCGUGCUUAACACAUGCAAGUCGAACGGAAAGGCCCUGCUUUUGUGGGGUGCUCGAGUGGCGAACGGGUGAGUAACACGUGAGUAACCUGCCCUUGACUUUGGUAUAACUUCAGGAAACUGGGGCUAAUACCGGAUAGGAGCUCCUGCUGCAUGGUGGGGGUUGGAACGUUUCGGCGGUUGGGGAUGGACUCGCGGCUUAUCAGCUUGUUGGUGGGGUAGUGGCUUACCAAGGCUUUGACGGGUAGCCGGCCUGAGAGGGUGACCGGCCACAUUGGGACUGAGAUACGGCCCAGACUCCUACGGGAGGCAGCAGUGGGGAAUAUUGCACAAUGGGCGGAAGCCUGAUGCAGCAACGCCGCGUGCGGGAUGACGGCCUUCGGGUUGUAAACCGCUUUCGCCUGUGACGAAGCGUGAGUGACGGUAAUGGGUAAAGAAGCACCGGCUAACUACGUG